UGUUUGUGUCAAUGAUAUACGUUUAUUGACUCGUUGUGGGUUGUACGUUUAUGUAUAGCCGAUAUAGAUACCGAUUACUGUACGUCAGAAUAUGGAAUCGGAGGCUAUAGAGGUUGUUCAACUGCAAAUGUUCGAUUGUUAACAAACUCCGCUCAUUUUUGCUGCUAUGAAUCUCCUCUACGUAGUUGGAAUAAAAUUCCAGUGGUCGCGUAUUUUUACGAUUAUAUUUUCACCGCAAAGCCACAAAAUGGAUUUAAAAUGGAUUUGAAAUCUUUCUUGUUAGUUGUUGAUACGUGUAACGUACGCGAAUCUAUCGCAGAGGGAUUUCGAUUUUCAACUGAACGGACCAUUACCUCGCCCACGUCGCAAACGAUCGCCUAAAGUCUCGUGAUCGAGUAAAACCGGUUUGAAUGCGCCAGUGCCGUAACAACUUAUCAGCCGAUACUGGGAUUAGAGAAUAUUCCUGAAUUUGUAACAUAUUCGUUGUCUCUUUCGUACAUAUAAACUAACAAAUAAUAUAUUUGUUAUAGAUGAUUAAAUACAUGACAGAAAAUAGAGAUUAAUAAAAAGAAAUACUAAUAAAUGAACAUUUUU
rnacentral:misc_RNA from 1 species